UAUGGGUUUUUUUUUUAAAUUUAGGGUUUUAAGCACUGUGUCACUUCAAAUUUAGGGUUUCACUUCACCAGCACAACACAUGUACCUCUAUGAAUGUUAGUAGUAAUUUUUUUAUUUUCUUUUAGCGGUUAGGAUGAAUCACACUUUAGUUUUACUUUUUCUUGGUUUCAUUUCUUUUUUUCCAAUUAUGUUAAUAUGCUCUUCAUGAUUAGAUCAUGCCUACUACUACUUAUUCACUUUUAUCUCAUCCCAAGGGGAAAAUGGUUUUCUGUGAUGCCUGUCUGUCAAAAUUUUUCCAGGGUAAGGUUAAUUCCUCAAGGUCUGUCAGGUUGUUUUUCCUUUCCCUCUUCCGAAUACUUCCUUUGUACUCCAUAACUCCAUUAGUCUAGACUUAUGCACAUUGCCUUGCAGCUGUAACAGUAAGUUCUAUCUGAUCUCUUAGCUUCUAUUGUAUCCUUCAAGUUCUAAUUGACCUAGACGGUGGGUGGAGGAUGGGUUUUCAUUUUUCCCCCCUUUUUCCAGUAAUCUUUUUUUAAGCUCUCAAAGACCAAAAUUUGUUUGCUUUAGAGUUUGUUUGUCCUUGUUUUGCUCUGUGUGUGAAGCUGUAUAUGUAUUCUUAAUGUUCUAACUGCACACACAUACACACAUGUAUGGUUAGUAACUUUUGGAUGUUUCGAGUAUGAUCAUAGUUUUAGAUUUUGAAGAAAACACUAAAAUUCAUGUGAAGUGUUUGCAGUUCUUCUUGAUAAUGUUUUGGAAUGGGAUGAUAAAAGGGUAAUCAAGGAUCUUGUUUAUUCAAUGAAUUCAAUACUUAAGCCUGCUGUUUUUAAGACCAGGUAAGGAGAAACUCCCAACACCACUCUCUUCUCUAUCAUGAGUUCGUUUCACCUUCCAUCACUCUCUUCUGUCUGUUGGUUGAGUGGGUUGUUCACAUUCUCUUUCACCCUAGCUACCCUCUUGGUCAUCAAUUGGUUCCUCAAGUCUAGAAUGACAAAACUUGCAUUCCAUAUUUGUGUUUUCCAUUUCCCCCCCUCAACGCGAUGUCAAUGUUUGACAAUUUCUGUCGAGCUUAAAUAAGCUCAAACUUGUACUUGUUGAUGAAGAAACUUAAAAGACAGAUAACCAAACUGAUUUAAUCAUGAACAAGUUUUUGCAUUUGUCAUUAUGCCGCCUGAACCGAACUUUGGGCAUUAGCAGCUGGUUGAAAACAUGGUAUUAUCGUGUAGUGCACAAUUAGAUUGGCUACAUUGAUUGGUAUUAUCUUUGGAUUUGGGAGGUUAGUUUCUUUUGUUAGUGAAAUGAGCUAGGAAGAUGCUGAAUGUAAGAGAAAUAGCAUGAGAGAGCUUCCUUCAGCCCACUCACGGAUGGGAACAAGGGGGUUGAAUUAGCUGCCGACUCAUUCAUUCAAGCACUCAGUAGAAAAUGGAUUGGUGUUUUUGCUACUGUGAUUGUGUGAAUGAUGCGGGAGAUGAUUUUGCAUCCCUCUUUCUCCGUGCUUGGACUGAAGGGAGCUCCUUCUUUCUGUUACCCUCAUUUAUAUACUAACUCUACAAAAUAUACCAUCUGUUGUGACCAUUUAUAGUGUUUCUACUACUCGUCUCAAAUUGCAAAUUCUCCUUGAGAAAGAGAUAUUUUCAUCUUUCACCUCCUUAUCAGACGAAUGAUCAGGUUCCCAUCGAUACUUGGCUAAUUCAUAUCAUCAUCGACUAGUUUGUUCCUUAUUGAAAACCAAAGUAUGGAGCGUAGCACAGGCCAUCUCGCUUAUCAAAUGGAAAUGGUUAGUUGGCAUGGCUUGCAGGGUCCAUUAUUGACAGGCGCCUCCAGUCUCCGCCCCCUUUCCUUUUUCCUUUUUAUUGGCAGACAAAUUAAGAAAAGUGAACCUUGCAUGUAUUGGCCUUUCCCUGAUUCCUGCACUAGUAGUAGUUUGAAAUUUAAUUUGUUGAAGGGAAGUCAGCCCCAUGUUUGACGAAAACUAUGAAUGCUCCACAAGAGCUGUUAAAGCUAACUGAUCAUGUUACCGAGAGAACAUGUGUAAGUAAAUAUUGGUUUCUCUUCACUACUGCA